UUUAGGGCAGAGUUUUCUGAGUAACAUGUUCCAGUAUUGCUUUAUUGGCACCUAAACACUAAAGUGUUUUGGUUCUGUCACUAAGGAGAAACAGUGGAAAUAUUAGGAAAAGCAUGCUACCAUACAAAGUUUUGGCAGUAUAUAAUAUGUAUACUGUGCACAGUAAGUGAAAUUUCUGUAUGUAUGGAAUACCCAGGCCUACUACAUUUGGCAAUAUGCAGUCUUCAACAGCGCAGUGCACUGGGAGAUUCUGUUCUCCAAGCAAAAACAUGGAUGCUAACUAUGGAGGGCAGAGUCAUCAUCCAGCCGCAAGAGCUAACCUAUUUUUCAUCAGCAUUAGCUGUCCUGUUUGGCUGCUACUAUGUAUUCAAUGUGCAGUACCAGGAAGAGGCGGCCAGUACACUGGAGUUUAUUUAGAGGUUCAUUCUAAGAAUCAACCCUGAUGGCACCAAAUGCCAAUCAAAGUCACACAUCAGCCAAAAACCUGGAAAGUGGGUGCAAAGAAAAAGCGUCAGUCUGAAUAUCCCCGUUGACUUUGAUUGGCAAAAUUAUAAAAAAUAAAUAAAAACAAACUGAUUUUUUUAUUUAAUUUUAUUAUGGCUUGAUUCACUUUCAAAAUGUGUAAGUUUUAGCCAUGUUACAUUACAGAUA